CCCGAUCUUCCUUUCUCCCUCUCUCUCUCUCUCUCGCAUGCUCUCUGCUAGGCCCGAACAACGACGGCAGGGGCUCGGGGAAUGGUGGUCGACGGCGGCAGGGGGAUCGGGGUCAGGCUGUUUGGCGGCAGGGGGGUCGGGGUCGGGCUGUUCGGCGAAAGGGGGCUCGGGGCUGGGCUCGACAGCAACGAUUGGUGGCUCGGAGCUGGGCUCGACAGCAACGACUGGUGGCUCGGGGCUGGGCUCGACGGCGGGUGGGGGGUUUCAGGUCUGGGCUCGACGGCGCAGGGGCUGGGCAGAGGGCUGUUUGGCUUCGGUGCUGAACGUUUCAAAGAACAACACAUUGUUGAAUGAUUUUACUGCUAUUUUUAGAGAAAUGAAGCCCUUCGUGUUGCUUUUAUUGAUGAGGUUGAAACACUAAAGGAUGGUAAAGUACAGAAGGAAUAUUUCUCAAAGCUCGUUAAGGGUGAUAUCAAUGGGAAGGACAAGGAAAUCUACUCUAUAAAAUUGCCUGGAAAUCCAAAACUUGGUGAAGGAAAACCUGAGAAUCAAAAUCAUGCAAUUGUAUUCACUCGUGGAAAUGCAGUCCAAACAAUUGACAUGAAUUAGGAUAACUAUUUUGAGGAAGCUUUGAAAAUGAGAAACCUACUUGAAGAAUUCCAUCGUGACCAUGGCAUUCGUCCUGCUACAAUUCUUGGUGUUAGGGAGCAUGUCUUUACUGGAAGUGUCUCUUCUUUAGCCUCAUUCAUGUCAAACCAAGAGACAAGCUUUGUGACAUUAGGUCAGCGUGUUUUAUCAACUCCUUUGAAGGUCCGUAUGCAUUAUGGACAUCCUGAUGUUUUUGAUAGAGUUUUUCAUAUAACACAGGGUGGUAUCAGCAAGGCCUCUCAUGUCAUCAAUAUUAGUGAAGAUAGAUUUGCAGGUAACUUUCUUAGAUUUAGGAGAGUCCCAUUUACAUGGUUUUCCAUCUUGAGCAAUUUUUUGUAUUUUGUUCCCAAGUAAGGAGUAUGAUGGUAUAUCAACAUUGUUCUUGCCAGGAGCUUUUUUAGAUGAGGUGUAAUCACUGGAAUUCUUAUCAUUCUAGGUUUCAUAGAUUUUUCUUUAGGCAGUUAAGUAUGUUAAAUUUAAGGUAUUGGAGUUGGGUCUCGAACCACAUCACAUGGGCCGACACUUUUGGCAAGAUUCUUGUUUGAAAUAAAACAAAAAUCUAGUCACAAACAACAUGAUAUUCUGUAUCAAAAAUGGGUAUUAGUUUGAUUUUACAA